UACAGAGGGUGCGAGCGUUAAUCGGAAUUACUGGGCGUAAAGCGUGCGCAGGCGGUUUUGUAAGCCAGAUGUGAAAUCCCCGGGCUCAACCUGGGAACUGCAUUUGUGACUGCAUCGCUGGAGUGCGGCAGAGGGGGGAUGGAAUUCCGCGUGUAGCAGUGAAAUGCGUAGAUAUGCGGAGGAACACCGAUGGCGAAGGCAAUCCCCUGGGCCUGCACUGACGCUCAUGCACGAAAGCGUGGGGAGCAAACAGG
rnacentral:rRNA from 1 species